rnacentral:rRNA from 1 species
AUUGAACGCUGGCGGAAUGCUUUACACAUGCAAGUCGAACGGCAGCACGGACUUCGGUCUGGUGGCGAGUGGCGAACGGGUGAGUAAUGUAUCGGAAUGUGCCCAGUCGUGGGGGAUAACGUAGUGAAAAUUACGCUAAUACCGCAUACGAUCUAUGGAUGAAUGCGGGGGAUCGCAAGACCUCGCGCGAUUGGAGCGGCCGAUAUCAGAUUAGGUAGUUGGUGGGGUAAAGGCCCACCAAGCCAACGAUCUGUAGCUGGUCUGAGAGGACGACCAGCCACACUGGAACUGAGACACGGUCCAGACUCCUACGGGAGGCAGCAGUGGGGAAUUUGGACAAAUGGGCGAAAGCCUGAUCCAGCCAUUCCGCGUGCAGGAUGAAGGCCCUCGGGUUGUAAACUGCCUUUGUACAGAACGAAAAGGUUUCUACUAAUACUAGGGGCUCAUGACGGUACUGUAAGAAUAAGCACCGGCUAACUACGUGCCAGCAGCCGCCGUAA